rnacentral:rRNA from 1 species
UCAGCUUGUUGGCGGGGUAAUGGCCCACCAAGGCGACGACGGGUAGCUGGUCUGAGAGGAUGGCCAGCCACAUUGGGACUGAGAGACGGCCCAGACUCCUACGGGAGGCAGCAGUGGGGAAUCUUGCGCAAUGGCCGAAAGGCUGACGCAGCGACGCCGCGUGUGGGAGGACGCCUUUCGGGGUGUAAACCACUGUUGCCCGGGACGAACAGCCUCAUUCGUGAGGUCUGACGGUACCGGGUGAGGAAGCACCGGCUAACUCCGUGCCAGCAGCCGCGGUAAUACGGAGGGUGCGAGCGUUGUCCGGAAUCAUUGGGCGUAAAGGGCGCGUAGGUGGCGGGACAAGCGUGCGGUGAAAGCUCGGGGCUCAACCCCGCGUCGGCCGUGCGAACUGCUUUGCUUGAGCACUGUAGAGGCAGGUGGAAUUCCGGGUGUAGCGGUGGAAUGCGUAGAGAUCCGGAAGAACACCGGUGGCGAAGGCGGCCUGCUGGGCAGUGGCUGACACUGAGGCGCGACAGCGUGGGGAGCAAACAGGAUUAGAUACCCUGGUAGUCCACGCCGUAAACGAUGGGCACUAGGCGCUUGGGGGAGCGACCCUCCGAGGGCCGGCGCUAACGCAUUAAGUGCCCCGCCUGGGGAGUACGG